GAGCGACGGGUAACGGGGAAUUAGGGUUCGAUUCCGGAGAGGGAGCCUGAGAAACGGCUACCACAUCUAAGGAAGGCAGCAGGCGCGCAAAUUACCCAAUGAAAACAGUUUUGAGGUAGUGACGAGAAAUAACAAUACGGAGCAUUAAAUGUUUUGUAAUUGGAAUGGUGGGAAUCUAAACCCCUUUCAGAGUAACAAUUGGAGGGAAAGUCUGGUGCCAGCAGCCGCGGUAAUUCCAGCUCCAAUAGCGUAUAUUUGAGUUGUUGCAGUUAAAAAGCUCGUAGUUGGAUUUCUGUGUUGGCUUUCGUGUACGCCCGCUUAAAUGUGUGGGUGCUUACUUACGUUGACCAAACAUUUUUCGAUGUUUUAUAUUUCUUGACCGCGCCUCAUUAAUUUGGGUGUGUGUUGGGAAUAUUUGACUACCAUCAGAACUUUUACUUUGAGAAAAAUAGAGUGUUUCAAGCAGGCCUGCCGCCUUGAAUACUGCACAUGAAUAAUAAUUAGACUUUGGUUCUAUUUUAUGGGUUCUAGAACUAGAUAAUGAUUAAUAGGACAGUGGGGGCAUUCAUUUUCGGUCAGAGGUGAAAUUCUUAGAUUUGA
rnacentral:rRNA from 1 species